rnacentral:rRNA from 1 species
GACGAACGCUGGCGGCGCGCUUAACACAUGCAAGUCGAGCGAAGUGGCGAACGGGUGAGUAAUACGUGGGUAACCUGCCCUCCUUUUUGGGAUAAGCCUUGGAAACGGGGUCUAAUACCGAAUCAAGGGGGAUGGGCUCGCGGCCUAUCAGCUUGUUGGUGGGGUGAUGGCAGACCAAGGCGGGGACGGGUAGCCGGCCUGAGGGGGUGACCGGCCACAUUGGGACUGCGGUCCGGCCCAGACUCCUACUGGCGGUAGCAGUGGGGGCUAUUGCACAAUGGGCGAAAGCCUGAUGCAGCGACGCCGCGUGGGGGAUGACGGCCUUCGGGUUGUAAACCGCUUUCAGCCAUGACGCGGUAUUGGCAGAAGAAGCACCGGCUAACUACGUGCCAGCAGCCGCGGUAAUUC